GUGCCACGCGGUAAUACGUAGGGUGCAAGCGUUGUCCGGAAUUAUUGGGCGUAAAGAGCUCGUAGGCGGCUUGUCACGUCGACUGUGAAAACCCGGGGCUCAACUCCGGGCCUGCAGUCGAUACGGGCUGGCUUGAGUGCGGUAGGGGAGACUGGAAUUCCUGGUGUAGCGGUGAAAUGGCGCAGAUAUCAGGAAGAACACCCGUGGCUAAGGCGGCUCUCUAGUAGCGGUACUGACGCUGAGACGCGAAAGCGUGGGGAGCGAACAGG
rnacentral:rRNA from 1 species